UACACAUGCAAGUCGAGCGGUAGAGAGAAGCUUGCUUCUCUUGAGAGCGGCGGACGGGUGAGUAAUACCUAGGAAUCUGCCUGAUAGUGGGGGAUAACGUUCGGAAACGGACGCUAAUACCGCAUACGUCCUACGGGAGAAAGCAGGGGACCUUCGGGCCUUGCGCUAUCAGAUGAGCCUAGGUCGGAUUAGCUAGUUGGUGAGGUAAUGGCUCACCAAGGCUACGAUCCGUAACUGGUCUGAGAGGAUGAUCAGUCACACUGGAACUGAGACACGGUCCAGACUCCUACGGGAGGCAGCAGUGGGGAAUAUUGGACAAUGGGCGAAAGCCUGAUCCAGCCAUGCCGCGUGUGUGAAGAAGGUCUUCGGAUUGUAAAGCACUUUAAGUUGGGAGGAAGGGCAUUAACCUAAUACGUUAGUGUUUUGACGUUACCGACAGAAUAAGCACCGGCUAACUCUGUGCCAGCAGCCGCGGUAAUACAGAGGGUGCAAGCGUUAAUCGGAAUUACUGGGCGUAAAGCGCGCGUAGGUGGUUUGUUAAGUUGAAUGUGAAAUCCCCGGGCUCAACCUGGGAACUGCAUCCAAAACUGGCAAGCUAGAGUAUGGUAGAGGGUAGUGGAAUUUCCUGUGUAGCGGUGAAAUGCGUAGAUAUAGGAAGG
rnacentral:rRNA from 1 species